rnacentral:tRNA from 1 species
AUUUUCAUAGUUUAAAAAAAACAAUUGCCUUUCAAGCACUAAAUAAGUUUUACUUUGAAAAUA